rnacentral:rRNA from 1 species
UACGGGGGGCGCAAGCGUUGUUCGGAUUUACUGGGCGUAAAGGGCGCGUAGGCGGUCAGCACAAGUCAAUUGUGAAAUCUCCGAGCUUAACUCGGAAAGGUCAACUGAAACUGUGCGACUAGAGUGCGGAAGGGGCAACUGGAAUUCUUGGUGUAGCGGUGAAAUGCGUAGAUAUCAAGAGGAACACCUGCGGCGAAGGCGGGUUGCUGGGCCGACACUGACGCUGAAGCGCGAAAGCCAGGGGAGCGAACGGG